AUUGAACGCUGGCGGCAGGCCUAACACAUGCAAGUCGAGCGGAUGAAGGGAGCUUGCUCCUGGAUUCAGCGGCGGACGGGUGAGUAAUGCCUAGGAAUCUGCCUGGUAGUGGGGGAUAACGUCCGGACACGGGCGCUAAUACCGCAUACGUCCUGAGGGAGAAAGUGGGGGAUCUUCGGACCUCACGCUAUCAGAUGAGCCUAGGUCGGAUUAGCUAGUUGGUGGGGUAAAGGCCUACCAAGGCGACGAUCUGUAACUGGUCUGAGAGGAUGAUCAGUCACACUGGAACUGAGACACGGUCCAGACUCCUACGGGAGGCAGCAGUGGGGAAUAUUGGACAAUGGGCGAAAGCCUGAUCCAGCCAUGCCGCGUGUGUGAAGAAGGUCUGCGGAUUGUAAAGCACUUUAAGUUGGGAGGAAGGGCAGUAAGUUAAUACCUUGCUGUUUUGACGGUACCAACAGAAUAAGCACCGGCUAACUUCGUG
rnacentral:rRNA from 1 species